UAGUGGUUAAAAGCGUGUGAAAAUUGCAAUAAACAUUAAGUUUUAAAUAAAUAUUAGUUCAUAAAUCCAUCAACACAUCAAUAGUUAGUGAAAAUUUGUAAGAUUCAUAAAUAAUAAAAUAUUUAAUAAUUUACCGUGAAAAAUUUAAAUGUAAACAAACAUUUGAUGGUUAAUCU